GAUGAAGAGGUCAAAUAGCAACGAGAGCAGCAUCAGUCAUAAGUAAAGGAAAAACAGGAAGAAAUCAUGAGGCAACAACAACAACACUGAUUAGACAUGAAGGGAAGAGGGGAAGAACUAAUAAUAUAGUUAGAACGACGUCAAUGUGAAAGAUUUGACUUGCUUGCUCAGAUUCAGAGGUUGGAGGCGGAUCCGAGUUUGUGAGCUAA
rnacentral:lncRNA from 1 species